rnacentral:lncRNA from 1 species
UUUUCCCUGAGGUGAUUUUUCUAGUUGAUGAUGCUCAAUAACAGAUAGCAAAAAAGAUAUUAUGAAAGAAGCCUGGAUUAUUGUCAUCACUCGUCACUCAUGAACAAUUAGAUUCACUAUCCUGGCUAUCGUUUAUCAACGUUUUCACCUAAGUAGGUCAAAGAAGGACAUGAUUUGAGAGGCAACACAAGAAAACUAACAAUUCAUUGGUACCGAAGAAAAAGAGAGAAAUAUAAGCAAGGCUGUGAUGACAGGAAUGUAAAUCAAAAGACUUCCUAACAUUCUGACUCAGUGGAAAAUAUGAGAACAUUCUGGUGAGGAUUGAAAAUGGCUAAAUCUGAUAAUGUUAACAUUCUGAAACUGUCUGCUAGAAUAAAUCCGAAAAAAUAAGGACUCUAGUUUUUUAGCAAGGACAUGUAAUUUAAUAACUUGACAGCACCAAGUUAUGUACAACUAAGCAAAAGCAUCCCUGUUUGGAUAUGCAGGGUACUAAUGACAAACAUCACAAACCUGAGUAAACAAGUUCUGAAUGUUAACACAGUUGCACAACUCAGCUUUUGAAGGUAAAAUCUUGGACGAGGGUCUUACAACCUUGAUGAUAAUCACGGCUCGUCUUCCUCAUCAUCAUCAGAAUCUUGAUCGGUAUUAUCCUCAUCAUCAUCAGAAUCUUGAUCAAAAUUAUCCUCAUCAUCAUCAGAAUCAUGAUAAUAAUAAUCACUGGAACAGUCUUCCUCGUCAUCAGAAUCUUGAUAAUAAUCACUGCAACUGUCUUCCUCAUCAUCAGAAUCUUGACAAGGAUUAUCCUUAGCUUUAACCACAGAGGAUACAUCCACAAGCCUACACGUGAAAUCAUGCAAAUCAUGUGAAAGCACCAAAUAAUGAAGAUUUGGGGCAAAAAUUUCCAAGGAACUAUCACUUUCACUUCCAUCAUCAUCCAUCCAAUAACCUUCCAAUUUCAGGCUUUCUACUUUGAAAGAAUUAAUUUCCAGGCUACGAAAAAUCCCCAACCUUGUGAAAUUAAAUAGUUUCCAAAGCAGGACAGACUGACAGUAAGUUUACAAUUUCGGCAUCCCCUAUCCUCCAAAGUUAUGCUCUUUAGAGACUUUCACGCUAUGACAAUAUAUUAGAAAUAAGGAACUUUCUACUAUAUGCAAUGUUCUCAACGCUGAACAGGUAAAGAAAGAUUCAGUAAAUAGACAAAGAGGAUCAGAAUAGACUAUAACAUGUUCCACAUUUUUUAACAGCAAAACCGCCAGUUCUUUUUUCUUUUUCAUUGAGGUAGCUUUUCUAGUUGGUGAUGCUCAAAGAACAGAUCACAUAAACAAUGUUAUGAAAGAAGCCUGGAUUAUUGUCAUUAAGAACACAGUUGUUACUCACGAAAAAUUAAAUUCACUUUAUUGGCCAUAGUGCAUCCAUUUUGUCAACAAAGUAGGUCAGAAAAGACAGGAUUUGGAGGACAACACAAUUAUAAUUCCCAUCCAUUGGUAACGAAGAUAAAGAGAGAGAUACAAGAACGGUUGUGAUAGCAGGAAUGUAAAUCCAAAGACUUCCAAGCCAUAUGCCAAGUGACAAACAAAUGAUAAAGUUAUAACCUGAAUCAGCAGAAAGAAUGAGACUGCAAGAGGGGCGGGGGAGAACUUUCUGGUGGUGAUGGAAAUGACUUGCUCUGAAUUUUCUAGUAGACGCAUUAACGGAAGGAUAAAAAUUGGUAAAAGAUUUAGCCUAAUAAUGACCUAAACUUCAACUAAAAAAAAUCAACAGCAUUGUAUGCCUCCAUUACAGACUGUUAAAAUUAUUUGAGGUAGACAAACAAUGCAGACCUCUUUCUUCCAAGUAAUGAGCCUAUGAGAGAACCAUUUCGCAAUCAAAGUUUGAUGCUAUUGACAAAGCAAGGAAGAAACAUUUAAUUACAACUUAAAAGAAACUCGCAAUGCACAACAUCUAAAAUGUAACAAACCAAAACUUCAUGAGAAACCAAGCUACUAUACCACUUGAUAUACCAUAACAGUAAGUUUCAAAAGAACAAUAAUUAAUAACAUAGAGAAAUUUAAGAUUAGCGAUUGCGUGAAGUUGAUCAAAGACUUAAUAUAAGGGAAAACUUCUUGUAUCCUGAGACAAAAAUACUUGUAGUCUAGUUAUAGAAAGCUCACUCUUGAUAGGUUAUCACAAACUCAGCAGAGGAUCUUAGAUUACUAGCCAAUCGCGAUAAAAAUCGGGACACACACUUGAUUCCACAAAUCUUACACCUUCGUCUUUUUGAAACGAUAACGAACUUCUCCAAAACCACUGCAUUCUUUAACAAAAAGUUUGAAAGUUUGAAAAGCUUCGUGAUAUAUUCCCAGUUGAGAUGCUCCUUCAUGCACAUCCCAGAGGAGAUGACGAUCUCAACAUUCUUUAGGUUGGGAAACACAGAGCUUGAAUUAUAACUCUGCAAAUCAAUACUAUCACCUUCAACCAAAUAUUUUCUCUCAAAAUAGCACCUGGAAUCAUCAAACUGGAGAAAAAGAAUAUAGUCAGGACUAAAUACAAACCAGCCUAAAAAUAUGAUUUUCACAGUAUGUCUGGUGCAGAAAAAUUUCAAAACUAACAGACAUGAAUGGUGGUUGGAAAAUGAUUGUGUAUCAUAACUAUUUGUGGCAUAGGUAUCUGUAAUAAAAGAAUGAUAGUGCAACAAUCCCUUUGCCACAAAGAAAGCAACAAAACCAACCAUAUUAAAGUGUAGCUUUACAAUGAUAAUUAAGGGAUAUAUUUGAGUUAUCCUUCAAAAACAAUUUGCGGGGAGGGGGAACAGAGGUUGUUAAAACUUCAUUAAAUGAAUAGAUGUAAGAAGAAAAGAUGUUCCACAAAGUUACAAGCUGAUUUUCUAUUUCUAAGUUGAGUGUCUCCACAAGAGGCGAGGCUCGCAAAAGGACAGCUGCCCUAUACAAACUAAACUUUUCCAAAUGCAACUCCAGCACUAGAUUUUUGCAUUCCAAUUCUGGAAUUGGCACUCCUUUGAAUUGCAAUAUGCAUAGAACCUGGUGCAAUAAUCCCAAUGAAACUAGUAAACAAUGGGGAAAGCAAUAAAGAAAGCACUUCACAACAAAGAAUUAAGUGUUGGGACAGUAAUUGAAACACUAAUCUUAAACUAAAUACUAACCAAAUAAACAACUAAUGUAUCAGUCUUCAUAGCACCACAAGAUGAAAAAAGGGGAACACGAAUAAGUAGAAAGAUUUGGUUGAUGAAAGAUUAAUUUCAUAAUGCUAUACUCAAUUAAAGAUCGAUCCAGUAAAAAGGCAAUUCCUCUUUACAUAACAAAAUAUAAAUAACUUUCUUAGCUUAGCCUCUUUAGAAAAGCUAAGGAACAUGAUUUUUUUUUAUUUAUCUCUUAGGGCUUGUUUGGUAGGGAGUAAAAAUGAGUAAUUUCAGUUUCUUGCUUAUUUAUGCUAUUUGGUAGGUAAGAAUUUUUUUAAUCUCAAGACUAUUUAUACAUCAUAAUUUAGAAUGAUAGUCGAGGAUUAGGAGCAGCUCAAAACAUUAAUUAUAAGCGCUUUAAAGUCGAAUUAAAUUUUAUAAUAAUAGGCCUUCAAUUUUAAGAAAAAUCAUAUUUACAAAUAUGAUUUAUGUUUUGUAUCUCGACAUAUUUGAAUUUUAAAAAGUAGAACAAAAGUACUCCUACGAUGUAAUUUUUUUAAAAAAAAAAAAUCGUUUUUUAUAUUAAUAAAAAGAGUAGGUGAGAGUAAGGAAAAUUAAAACUUGGUUCUUGGAAUUGAUAAACACCCAUACCAAACACACCCUUAAAGCAAACACAUAAACCAAGAUUUUUGCUAUUUAUAAAUAUCAUUGGAAGAAACUUUCCAUAGUUUUCAUUCCUCUAAUACGGAGACAGACGUUCAUCAUAAAAUGCAAAAGAAAAUAAAAUAGUCUUUACGGCCACAACUGUUCAUCCUUUACCGGAUGAACUAUAAAAGUAAAUAGAGAAUGCCUAAACGCCGACACACAAAGAAAUGCAAAAGUAAAUAAAAUAGCCUUUACGGCCACAGCCGUUCAUCCUCCACCGGAUGAACUAUGAUGGCCUUUACGGCAACAGUCGUCCAUCCUCUAUAACCGGAUGAACUUUAAUUUGAUACUAAACUGAUCAUUUUGGGAUUGCCAGUGACAUUAUCUCAAUUGGAGCCCCUAUCAACUUUUUUUCCACUGUGAAUGCUUUCGAGAAUUAAGCUAUGCCACUUCCACCUUUUGCCUGAAUAUACAUUGAUCAAACAUGUUUUUAGAACCAACCAAUAAUAAUAUACUCAAUAAAAUCUAAAGAGAGUAAUAUAUAUGUAAAUACGUUAUCCAUAUUAUCUUGCAAAAGUAGAAAGAUUGUAUAUUUAUGUUAAACACCCCGAAAAUUUCUAAGUUAAUAUACAAUCUUUCUACUUUAACAAGAUAAUAUGGAUAACGUGUGUACAUAUAUAUUACUCUCUUUAGAUUUUAUUGAAUAUAUUAUUAUUGCUUGAUCUAAAAACAUGUUUGAUCAAUAUUCAGGCAAAAGGUGGAAGUGGCAUAGCUCAAUUCUCGGAAGCAUGCAUAGUGGAAGAAAGGUUGAAGCAAGCUGCAAUUGAGGUAAUGUCACUGGCAACCCCCAAAUGAUCAGUUUAGUUUCAAAUUAAAGUCCAUCCGGUUAUAGAGGAUGGACGGCUGUUGCCGUAAAGGCCAUCAUAGUACAUCCGAUGGAGGAUGAACGACUGUGGCCGUAAAGGCUAUUUUAUUUACUUUUGCAUUUCUUUGUGUGUCGCCAUUUAGGCAUUCUCUAUUUACUUUUAUAGUUCAUCCGGUAAAGGAUGAACAGUUGUGGCCGUAUCGGAGGAAUGAAAACUAUGGAAAGUUUCUUCCAAUGAUAUUUAUAAAUAGCAAAAAUCUUGGUUUAUGUGUUUGCUUUAAGGGUGUGUUUGGUAUGGAUGGAUGUUUAUCAAUUCCAAGAACCAAGUUUUAAUUUUCAAACUCUCACCUACUCUUUUUAUAAAUAUAAAAAACGAAAAAUUACAUCGUAGGUGUACUUUUGUUCUACUUCUUUAAAUUCAAAUAUGUCGAGAUACAAAACAUGAAUCAUAUUUGUAAUUAUGAUUUUUCUUAAAAUUGAAGGCCCAUUAUAAUAAAAUUUAAUUCGACUUUAAAGCACUUAUAAUUAAUAUUUUGAGCUGCUCCUGUUCCUCGACUAUCAUUCUACAGUAUUUUUCUAAAUUAUGAUGUAUAAAUAGUCUUGAGAUUAAAAAAAAAAUUCUUACCUAUCAAAUAGCAUAAAUAAGCAAGAAACUGAAAUUACUCAUUUUUACUCCCUACCAAACAAGCCCUAAGAGAUAAAAAAAAAAAAAUCAUGUUCCUUAGCUUUUCUAAAGAGGGUAAGCUAAGAAAGUUAUUUAUAUUUUGUUAUGUAAAGACGAAUUCUCUUUUUACUGGAUCGAUCUUUAAUUGAAGUAUAGCAUUAUGAAAUUAAUCUUUCAUCAACCAAAUCUUUCUACUUAUUCGUGUUUCCCUUUUUUCAUUUUGUGGUGCUAUGAAGACUGAUACAUUAGUUGUUUAUUUGGUUGUUACAAAAUCUAACAAAAAUUCUAGUUCCGGGUAAGAUAAAGGAAAUAACACAGUUUCAAAGCUGACAAAGGAUAGCAGAGAGGUACAAAAGUCCCCACAAGUUUCUGUAAUUUGUCCAGAUUGGUAGGUGAAAUUCGCACAAAGGUUCUCCAUUGUAUAUAUAAUGUUUACAUUCUGAAACUGUCUGCUAAAAUUCAAUCUGAGAAAACAAGGGCUCUAAUUUUUUUGAGAAAGAUCAUGUGAUUUUAAUAACUUGCAACACUAAGCAAAAGCAUCCCUGUUUGACUAUGCAGGGACAAACAUCACCAACCUGAGUGAACAAAGUUCCGAAUCAAGUGAAGUCCAGAGAUACUGCCACCUUUUAGAGAGAAUACAUGUUGUGAAUGCUUCCUUUGUCGGCAAAAGGGAAAGAAUCUGAAGCAGAAGUGAGUCCGGCAAGUCACUCAGGCAGUCAGGCGGUCAUCUAGGGUUUCUUCCGCCAUGAUUUUGUUUUUUGUGUUUCUAAACUCCCGCUUCGGUAGUACCCUCUUCAAUUUGUACAAUUAAUAUGUUUAUAUAUUCGCCUAAAAUUAAAAUUAAAAUUAAAUAAGGGAUAUACUAAGGCCCGUUUGGCCAUAUGAUUAGAGAGCAUGAUACGAAAUUGUAUGAGAUGAAGUUAAUAUUUUGUUUAAACAUAUAAUUUGAACUAGUGAAUUUGGCCGCGCUACGUGCGAUUUAAAUAUUUCUAAUAAAAUUUUACUUUAUUUGGCAACAUUUACCAUUACAAUUGUUUUUUUAUUUCUACAAAUUUACAAACCAUUAUUUCCUUUGAUUUCUACUUUUACAUAAUCUUUUGUAACUUUUAUUUUAUCUUUUAAAUAUUUGAUUAUAUUAUUAUCUCUCAUGCACUUAUUAUUUGAAUUAUACCUAUAAAAAAUUUCGAGUAUACACAUAUUCACAUACAUAACCUUUUUCAUAUUUUUUUUUAAAAUUUUUCUUAUUUUAGAAGGUCAUGAAUAUUUCACCCUGCAAACAUAGAAAAGGUGAAUGUCACAUCCGGUAAAAUAUAAAAAAAGUAUAAUUUUUUUAAGUUUUUAUGAUAUAAACUAAAAGAAUAAAUGGACAUUUUAUCUUUAAUUGUAUCAAAUAAAAUUUCAAAUUUAUUUAAUUUUAUAUGGUUGCUUGUUUAAUUAUUAAUUUUCUCUAUAAUAAUAACAACCUAGUUGAUGCUACGGAUUCAUUUUUAAUAAUUAUCAAAAAAUAGUUGCAUAGAUUAAUUUUUAAUAACGUAAAAUAAGUUAUUUCAAAAUGAAUUUUUAGAUGACUUUUAUUGCUUCAAUGCAUGAAUAAAUACAAGGAAAUAAGAAACUUUCACAAAUGUUUUCGUAAGCAAUUUCAAAAUAGAAUUCUCACUCGUCCACCACGAUAUUGCUCCAUCUCUCAUAUUAUUUUCUCACUAUUGUGUUGUAUAAAAAUAAAAUACAUAAAUAAUAUGAACAUGAGUGUAUUUACUGAUUUGCAAAAAGAAAAUCACACUUGAAUGAAGCUUAUCUUGCUUAGUUGAUAAAUCUUCUCUCUUUAAAUAUGUCAUCGCUGAUAAUAUUAUAUUUUCAUAUAAUUUGUAGUGAAAAAAGUAAAUAGACCAUUGGAAGAAAAUUUUAGUUUACAAUGAACCAGUUAUAUGAGUAAUUACAAUCAAUAACGAAAAGUCAAUAACUUCGUAUUCUUGGUAACAUCACAUAUCUAUGUGAUCUGCAAUAAGAAAUUUAAACGACAAUCACAUUUUCAUUAUUCACGAAGAACUAUUUAUUAUGUAAUUACAAUUUAUAAACCUUAUCAACAAUCAAUAAUGAAAAGUCACUAUAUAAUUUUUAGAAAUUUUUGUGAUGAAAAAUUAAAUAUUAAUUUUUUUUUGGUAAAAUUUGAACACCAACCAAAAGCAUGGUAAAAUAACUACUUACACUUCAUGUUUCAACUCCUCUGAAAAAUCAAUAAAGAAAAGUCACUAUAUAAUUUUUAGAAAUAUUUGUGAUGAAAAAUUAAAUAUUAAUUUUUUUUUGGUAAAAUUUGAACACCAAUCAAAAGCGUGGUAAAACAACUACUUGCACUUCAUGUUUCAACUCCUCUGAAAAAUCAAUAAAGAAAUAAUUUUAUAUAACCGGCAAACAAUUAACGUCUAAUUAGAGUAUUAUCUUCAUAAGAUAUAUGAAUUAAAAUUCAUUGCUUAAGGUAAAUAAAAAUGAAGACAAAAAUUAAGAUAUUGCAAUGCUAAAUUGAGAGAGAAUAAAUGAAGAGAUAUAAAAUGAACAAACAGGAGUAAGGAUAAAGUAGUGCGGAAAGAAAAAUAGAUGAAUUGUGUUAGAAUUCUCAAAUAUUGCAUUAUAUAGUAAAAUUAGUUGCAUUAUCCUUUUCAUUAAAGAGUUGCAAUUAAGUGGAUGCAUUUCUUUUUUUAAUGAAAUUUUGUAACCAUUUUUUCCAUAACUAAGCACACUAAUUAUGGGAAAGUAAAUAUUGAUUAUAGGGAAUGAAAUGAGUAUAAUUUAAAAACGCCAAAAUGAUAGCCUUUGAAAUUCUUUAUUUAUAGAAAGGUAUAAUUGAUCAUUAAUUAAUAAUUAUUAAUAAUACAAUUGUGUAAAAAUAGAGAAAAAUGCCUAAAUCUUAAGAAAAUAGAUAAAUACCUUUUCUGAUCAUUGAGGCAUGCCACAUCAGUAGGAUGAAGAUCCUCCUUUAUAUUAUAUAUAGAUUUUUAAGUUGUAUUGUUUGCUUGUAUACAUAAAAAAUUCAUAAGUUGUGAAAAUAUGAUACAUAAAUAUACCCUUAACUUUACCUUCUUUUACAUUUAUGCCCUCCAACUUUGAAUAUGCACAAGUAGACACUCAAACUUGUAUAAAAUUGAACAAAUAGACACACACGUCUUAUGUGGCAUCCUACAUGGCAAUUUGUGUCCUACGUGGUGUCAUGUAUGUAUUAUGUCACAUAGGACUCAUGUGUCUACUUGUUCAACUUUAUACAAGUUUAAGUGUCUACUUGUGCGCACACAAAGUUGGAGGGUAUAAAUAUGAAAUGAGGCCAAGUUAAAGGGCAUAUUUAUGUAUUAUGCCUAUUUAAAUUGCUCAUUAUUCAUACAACUUACUCCAUUUGUCUCAUUUUAUAUGAUUUACUUUUUUUUUAGUCAGACCCAAAAAGAAUGACACAUUUUUAUAUUAAGUAACAAUUUAACUUUAAAAUGUUCAGUUUACCCUUAAUGAAAUGAUUUAUAGCCACACAAAUUUCUAUUAUUCAUUUUAGACCAUAUCUUUUAAAAGUCUUCUUUCCUUUCUUAAACUCUGCCGAGUCAAACUACCUCACAUAAAAUGAGACGGAGAGAGUACUAAAUAAGCAAACUAUCCCUAAGUUAUUCUAACAAAAAUACAAUAAAGAAGUUGAAUAUGAGUUAUAGUAUACUACUCUUCGUUUCAAAAAAAAAUAUACUACUAUUAUUAUUAAGUAAUAAUAAAUUUGGUUGUUGAGAGUAAUGAUUAUAUCUGAUAAAAUGAUGGGUUAAAGUAGUGGUUAUUUCAUGAAUUUUGUUGCAUAUGUGAUUUCAUCUCGUGAUUUGAAAUCAUGAGAUAAAAUAUGUGUUAUGUGAUUUCAAAUCAUGAGAUAAAAUCUCAAAUUUUCCAAAAAACUUAAUUUUGGAAUUUCAUAUCAUGAGUUCACAUUUUCCAAAUACAAAAAUUUAAUUACAAAUUUAUAUUUUAUAAAAAAAGUGUAUAUACAAAAAAGCUUUUAUACCAAUUAUUAAAAUAUACACAGCAAAAGCAUCAUUCAAGAACACCAAUCUUCUGAACAACUUAGAAAACUAACAUGUUGAACUUUUGCACAAUUCGCCAAAACAAAGUAAUCUGAGGCUGUGAUCUUCUACUAUUUUCCUAUAACCUUUUAACUAAAACUUGUUGGGCAACUAGAAAGAGUUUUUCUUCUGGAAAAGGGUAGGGGUGUGAUCGGUCGGUUCAGUUCGAUUUUCAGUUAUUAAAUAUGUCAACUCAAUAAUAAGCCAAUAAGAUAUUUUUUUAUCGGUUUCAAUUUUUAUCAGUUUUUUAUCGUUAUCGGUUCGAUUUUCGGUUUACCCAAUAAGAAAAUGUCCUUAAAAUAUUACAUGACUUCUCACUUCUCUAAAUAUUUUGAUAUAGUGAAACAAGAAAGAUAAUGAGACAUUGCAUCAACAAGAGAAAAUAUAGUAUGAAGGCUAUAAUUACAUGUCACCACCAAAACAUAAUAUAAAAUUUCUAAUGUUGAUCAAAUUACAGACCUUUACAAACUAGCAAAAGCUACAACCUACAAUUACAAACUAAAACUAAAAUCAAAUAGCUACAACUGUGAACUUUAGAUUUGAGUAAACAGUAAAGACUAGUAAAGCGGCCUAGUGUGAAGUGAGUAGAGUACUAAUAAUUUGAUAUAGUUAUUGUAACACCCCAAAAAUUUCUAAGUUAAGCUCCUAACCUGUAACACCCGGAAAACUAGUAGGUUAAAUUAGAGCCUUACGUAAGGGUUCUAGAGCUUUACGUGGGGGUUAGAGUUGUAGAAAUGACUUCUCGUACUUAGAAUGAGGGGUUUAGGGGUUAAACGUCAAGGUACGACUCCCUAAAGACCAACCAAAGGGUCCUUGAGGAGGACCCUAAAACAGCCCCAAAACCUGCCAAAAAUCAGUGAUCCACGAUGGGGACUCAUGCCCCGUGGGUCCACCCACGCUCCGUGGGGAGGGUCGUGGGUCAAGACCCCAAGAGUGGAACUGCAGGACUCCACCCACGGAGGACUAGCAUGGCCCGUGGGUCCACCAACGGCCCAUGGGUCUGGGUCUCGUGGGUGAGGCAACCUUGUCCCUUAAGUUGUUUAAGUUAAGGGUUAAGGAAAGUUCUAGAAUUAAUUAGUUAUUAAGAGGGGGUCGUUUUAUUAGUAAUUAGGCCACCUAUAUAAAGCUAUUAGACUAUUAACUAAGGGAUUCUAAAUCAUUAUUUUCAAUCUACCCAAAGAACUCAAAUUCCCUCCAAGAAAUUCUCUCUCUAGGAAGCAAAGAAGAAGAAGAAGAGAAGCAAGUUAGGGCAAAUUCCUCCAUUGUUUCAAGCAUUGUGAGGGCUUUAUAAUCAAGGUAUGAUAGCUUAUUCAUCCUUGGAUUCUUCCAUCCAUGGAUCCCCCUAGAUUUCCCUCAAUUGUGAAGAUGAACCCAAUUCUAGCUAGGGUUUUUUCCUAUAUUGUGGUAUUGUUGAGUAUGAAUCAAAUUGAGUGGAUAAUACUUGUUUAUGAUUACUUUAGUAUUGAAUCAUGAUAUUGUGAUGAUAUUACAUGUUUUCCAUGGUUAACCCUAGUUUAAUUGAUGAAAUUGUAGUAAUGUGGAUUUAUGCCAUGAAAGGUGAAAUUGAGUAUUUAUAGAUGAUCUUCUAGAAUUGAUGACCUGUUUAGUAAUUGUUCAUGAAUGAAAGCUUGUAGACAUGAAUUGAAUUAGAUUAUAGUAUAUAUGAUGGAUCAUGACUAGUAAAUCUUGAGAUUGAACUUUUAUGCAUGAUGAUUCAUGACUAGAGUCACUUGAUAAUGAAGAAUGUGAUUAGAAUGCCAUGAAAUCUAGGUAUGAAUGAUGUUGGUAAGAAGUAACGCUUUGAGGGUAAGGCUUGUAGGCAUGAGUGUUGAUUGUUAGGGCUUUGAGAGUAAAGUUAAUAUGUUGAAUUAAGAAUGUUCAAAUGCAUAAAGUGAUAGAAGCACUUGAAACAUGGAUUGGUUGUCAAGGACAUCCCUCCACGAGUAAUGAAUUAAGUAAGAACUUAAUAAGCUAUCUUAUGGAAUGUAUGCCUAGCACCGAAUGGAUAUUGAAUUGAGAUGGAAGCUUUUACCUAGUUGAGUCCGAAUUCCAAGAUGGUAACUCUCACAAGUAGAGUCCGAGUUUCCCAAAGUAUAUCUCACGAGAUGGAGUCCCUCACAAGUGGAGUCCAAGUUUCCUAGUAGAAUAUUCGUAUCCCAUAACUACGUGCCUCGUAGGAAAGUUAGCUAGUGGGUCAAACUAAGCUAACAAAUCGGUUCUACCCUAGGCAAGUAGACCAACCCUUCUUGGUAUGGGUAACAUCGGAGGGGAUCAUGUGAAAGCUCAUGUGGUCCCAUAUCGAUUAAGGCUAUAUUCCCAACUAGUGCAAGAUUAUUAAUGAACUAAGACAUACUUGAAAGAGUAUAUCCAAGUGUUCAAAAGCAUUAAUGAGCUAAGACAUGCUUAAAGAAGCAUCUCCAAGUGCUCAAGUAUAAUGAACUAAGACAUACUUGAAAGAGUAGAUCCAAGUGUUCAAAAGCAUUAAUGAGCUAAGACAUGCUUAAGGAAGCAUCUCCAAGUGCUCAAGUAUAAUGAACUAAGACAUGCUUAAGGAAGCAUCUCAAGUGUUCCAAUAUAAUGAACUUAGACAUGCUUGAGUAAGUAUUUCAUAGUGUUCAAAAGUAAAGAAAAGGGGAUAAGAUGUAUUUAAAGAAGUAUCUCUUAGGGUUCCAAUGUCUUAAAAAGGUGGACUAGUCUCCAAAUCAAGAAGUAUGAGUAUGAGGACCUAAAAGUGGUACUUAGCAUGGGUAGGAUUAUGGGAUCUUAUUCAUUCAUUGCACAAGUAUGACUUAAGGUUACUAGAAGUGUUCUCUUAUAGGAGGUAUGCUUAGAUAGGAUUGUGUUAUAGUUGCCUUCCUUGUUAUGAGUGACUAAAGGUGAGAGAUUCCCUUGUCUAUGAGAAUUAAGCUAAAAAAAUGAGAACAUAAGAUGGUAAAUAGGAUGAUGAUGGCCAAAGGGGAUACUUAGCAUAAAUGGGAUUAUGAGGUCUUAUUCAUGCAUUGCACAAGUGUACUUGGAGGUUACUUAUGAAGUGGUUUUCUUAUGAUGUGAAGGUCUAAGCAUUAACUAGGUACAUGGACUAUGAUUUAUAAUGAAUAAUGCUUAAAUGAUGCUUAUGUUGGAGACCUUGAUUAUGAUUAUGAUAUUGUCUCUUAUGCUUAUAUUUUGUGUAUCAUGAAGUAUCUCUUAUGCUUGUGGAUUAUGUCUUAUGUUGACUAACCCUUAUAUUAUGCUCUUAUGAUGUUAUGCUAGCUAUCAUAUUUAGUAUUUUUGUACUAACGCAUACUCUUGCCUACAUUCUCAUCAAAUGUAGGGCUCGUCGAUUUUGAUUUCUAUUCUUGGAGAUAGGUUUCUAGAAGUGCAAGGAGUUGAAGACUUGGUGAGUACUCAUAGCAUCGAGGAUGAAGCCACCAUUUCCUUUAUGUCUUUUAUUUUUCAUGUUUUGAGACUAUUGUAUGGGCUGUGUCCCAAGAGUUAUUCAAAGUAUUGUUGUAGAUGAUUUGAGACAAAAAGUGUAGUAAGACUUCCGCUUCGUUUUAUAAAGACUUUGAUUGUAUGAAAAAUGUUUUAAAAAUUCCGCAUUUUUCUAUUAUCUUAUGUUAUGAUAUGCUAAGUGGCUUGUAUGAGAUCCCUUUCAGGGUCAAGUACGCCAUGUUACAUCUAAGGUGUACCAUGAGUCGUGACAUAACCAUUCUUGAAUUACAUAUAAGGUCGUACUAAGUGACUCUUAAUUUUCUUAGGUGUUAAGGACAAUUCUUUAGUGUGGGAAUGAAUUUGGAUAUGAAUUAAGGUCACUAGAAUCUCCUAGCACAAAGUUGAGUUAAAAGUUUUCUUACCGAUUAAUUUUUUAUGUAAGAUUCUACUUGGGUCAACUUCAAAUGACCAUAUCUCUUAGAAUAUAAAGAGUUAUGUGGACCAUAACCUAUCAAAUUAAAUUUAUUUGAAUUUUCUUUCCAAUGCCACCAAUUUCGCGUCAAUCCGAGUUUCGAGUAAAGCGUUAUGACCAAUUUAGUAACUUGAUACAGUGCAGUGACGAAUUAACCGACGGGAAAUCAUUAAAAAGGGUUGUUUUUAUCUUUUUACCUCUAAGAAAACCCUAUACGAAUUUCUUGACUAAUUAAAGAGCAAAACCAAUCAAAUUUUCAUCUCUUAAUCCCCCCUUCUCUUCUUUCUCAAACCCUAAGGGAAAAAUAAAAGUAGAAGACUCCAUUCAAGAUUCUUUCAAUCUUUUUCAAGAUUGUUCUUCAAGGUAAGUCUUUCUCCCAGAAUUCCAUUCUUUCCAACUCAAUUUUCUUCAUACAAUUAUGAAUCAUUAAUGAGAAUAUUAAUUCUUGGCCAUAGAGUUUCAAGAAACUAAUUCAAGAAAUCUCAAGAAAGGUUUACUUGAUUUUUCUCCUUCAAGCUAGAAUUUCAAAGGCUUCUAAUCAAGUUAUUUUUCAAGAUUCUUCAAGAACCUUGUUCUUCCAGGUAUGUAAGGAUAUCAUAGUAUUAGACUAGUCUGUCCUCACGCCCUACAUCUACUUUCAAAUCAGUAAAAGAGUAAUCUAGGACUCUAUCCCUAUAUUUGAGUAUUCUUGAUAUAAGUUGAUUUUGAGUUAUUGAGUUCUUGAUUCUUUUUGAAAUUAUAUUCCUAAUUAUUGAAUUGCUAUAUGUUAUGCAUUAAGAUUUUUGAGUUGAUUCGUUCAUGUCUAUAUUUCAACAUGAACCUAAUGAAUUGAGUAUUCAUGAGAUGAGUAGUAUUGCUGAGUUUCAAGUUCUUGAGUUCUCAAUAUUGAGUUUCCAUAUUGCUAUUAAGAUCUCUGAGUUGAGUCGUUCAUGUCCAUAAUUCCACAUGAACCCUAUGAAUCAGUUAUAAAUUUUGAGAACCUUUUUUUUAAAGCCAACAUUUGAGUUUUUAAACUGAGUUUUUGAGAAAGUAAAGAUGAGUUUUGAGAAAGUUUCUAAAACAUGAUUAGUAUGACAAUCGAGUAUGCCAUCAAUAUUUAAGCAGUAUGGUACAUCAAUGUUUAUGCAGUAUGACGUCCCGAGUCAUCAAUGAUCAUAUUAUAAUAUGAUUUUUAAAUGUUUUUGAGAAAUAGUUUUCAAGUAUGAGUAUAAGGGGACUAGGUAUUCCCAGAGGCAUCAUUUUUUUACAUUGAUAAAAGAGAAACUGAGAUUUCUAAAUGAGUUAUGAGUUCAAAAGUUAUUUCAAGAGCAGUUACCUCUUUUAAGUGGGUAGUUUGAGCAAUUAUCUCAAACUAGAUGAAGAGUUAUAUUUUUUUAAAACAUAUGAGCAUGAGUAUAUAUUAUUAGGAGUAGUAUUGAACAACGAUAUGGGGGAGGGUUCAGACAACUCACAACCCCCAUAAACCAUGUAUGCCAACAUGGGUAAAGGGUCAUACUUUUUAGAUGAUUCCUUAUUACUUUUAAGCAUAGCUCAAUGGAUCCACUUAGUUGAGGAUGUCCUAUACUCUGGCAAGGUAUAGGACAGUUUUGGCAGCGUAUACGAGACGUUGUAUUGUCACGUUGCUCAUAGUGAUGGUUGUCGGUUAGAAAAUCUCCCAAAUAAGAGUAAUGAGUUAUUAUUGUAUUUUUAUAUAUAUUUGAGUUAUUCCAAAAGUUUCAUGUAUAUAGCAUCUUUUAUUGUUGCUUUCAUUUUGAGUUGAGUAUCUUGAGUUUGAGUUGAGUAUCUUGAGUUGAGUUGAGCAUCCUGAGUUGAGUUGAGUAUCAUGAGUUGAGUUGAGUAUCUUUGAGUUGAGUUGAGUAUUCUUGAGUCAUGUUGAGUUGAGACGAGGUAAGUGUGUCUUCCCCUUUAUUACAUCGAGCUUAUACUUAUAUGUUGCAGAGUUCCCCUUACAUGCUCGUACAUUCCUUGUACUAACGCCAUUUGGCAUGCAUCAUUUUAUGAUACAGAUACAGGUAUUCAAGAUCAUCAAUAGGCGUUUCGUUGAGGUCAUGUGGUAUUCUAGUCAACUGUGGUGAGCCUUCUUAUAUUACGGAGGACUUCACAUUUACCUUACAGUUAGUAAUGUUGAGAUGUCGUGGGUCUUAUCCCGAUAUCCUUCUGUAAUAUAUAGUAGAGGCUUCAUAGAUAGACAAAGUUGAGGAGUUUUCUUUAUUUCUUUCUUUUGAGUUGUGUUAUAAACUCUGAGUAUAUCUUUUGAGUAUUGUUCAAACUUUUUAAAGUUGAGUAUUUGAGUUUAAUGAUAUUUGAUUCAAUAUUAAGCUUUUGUAUGCUUGAGGUAGUCUUUCGCUUGUAGUUAGCCAAGAUAAGGGUUCGCUUGGGGACCAGUAGUGGUUCUCAAGUGCUGGCCACGUUCAUGGUGUAGACUCAGGUUGUGACAAUUAUAGUGUCUAGUUAUAUAUUAAAUUAUUAAUAUUUAAUAUUUAGGAAGGGUAAAAUAGUAAAUUAUUACCGUCUUAUUGAGUUAUUGGUUUACCCAAUAACCCAAUAGUAAAUACUGAAACUGAACCAAUAGCCCAAUAACUAUCUUUAGAAACCCAUUAAAAAUUCAAUAACCCAAUAAUAUUUUUUCGGUUCGAUUUAUUGAUCAGUUUGGUUUUUGCACACUCCUAGAAAAGGGAUAAUUUUCUUUAAGGUAAAAUACAAUAUGUAUUCCUGCUAGGGAAAAUGUAAUAACCCUGAAGGUCAUUUUUGAAAAAAAAAUUUAAAAUAUUAUUUUAUUCUUCUCGUUAGUUAUCUCGACUUAUGUUUGAUCAGUUUAUGAGGUUGAUUUUGAAGAUGGAUCAAAAAGUUGAGAAUUUUGGAAGUUUUGGAGUUUUGGAAGUUUUUAAGUUAGGCGAGAGAAUGGUCUAAAACCCCCCAACCUAUACCCGAAAUCCCAACAACACACUCCGACUUUACGGGUGUUCUAUUACCCACCUGAACUUUAUAUUUCUCUAUUUUAUACACACCUAAGUAUUGACCUCAACACAUAAACCAAAUAAUUAGGCCUGCGUGGUUCCACGCGCUGGGUCCCGCUCCUCUUCAACUCCAAUUUCUUGAUUUUUCCCCCAUUCCCUCCUAAAAUGUAAAAGAACAAAAAAAAUCCUCCUUUCUCAUUUUGAAUCCUUGUCCAUUAGCAAUGCAUUUCUGGUGAUCAUCAAACAAAUUUGCUAUCAUCGAACGAUUUUGUUGUGUAUUGUCAACUUCAUUUCGUAGUUUAACAACUGAUUUAGUAAAAGGUUAGUUCUUUAUCCCUUAUUUUGAGUUUGUGAUUUAUCCCCUAGGGUUUCUGUUGAUUCGUGAAAUUAAGAGCAACGUUGUGUGAAAUAUUAUGUGUGGCUUACGAUUAUAGUGUUAGGUGUUCAUUUAAUACCACAUUUUUCAUGAAAUUAGGUUUUUCCCUUUCUCGUCUAAGUCGCGUAAUUUUGUAUUAUGUUCAUGGAGUGUUGUAUUUAUGUUCUUCUUAGUAUUAUGUUCAUAGAGAAGCUGCUAGUCUGCUACUGUGUUGCAUUUAUGUUCAUAGAUUAUGUUCAUAGAGAAGCUAAGUACUAUGUUGUAUUAUGUUCGUUUGCUAAUGUGUUGUAUUCUGUUCGUUUUUAAGUACUAUUCUAUUUUUUGGAUUGCCCUCAGGUUAGAGUAUGUCUAUAAUUACUAUUCUGUUUUUUUUUAUUACCUUCAGGUAAGAGAUGAAUGGGUUUACUUUGAUUACUCUAAGGUGGUACCAUGGUGGGGUGUUAGAUUUAAGUAGUGGGGAACCAAUAUAUAAUGGUGGAAAAGUUACAGAAUUUUUGGAUGUUGAUGUAGAUAAAAUGUCAUAUUUUGAGUUGAAAGACUAUAUUAGGGAAUUGGGAUAUAGUACAACUUGCACCUUUAGUAUUAAAGCACCUAACAGUGGCAUUUUGGUAGAUGUUGAUAAUGAUAAAGAUAUUUUAGACAUAAUGUGUUCCUUGGAAGAUGGGGAUGAAGUGGAGGUAUUUGUUAGGCAUUUGGUUGAUGAGGCAAUUGUGGGACCCAUGUUAAUAGAAAUGGUAGUCAUGUGGAUAUGGGAGAAUCUGGUUCAACUUUUUAAUACAAGGCCUAGUGAGAGUGAAAACUUUAACUUUGGGGUAGGUGAAAACCAUUUAAACAGUGAGGACCCUGUUGCUACUUUUUCAACCUCACCUCUUUUCACUACCACACCUCCUUUUUAAAUAUUGCUACUGCAGAUGGUGCUACUGAUGAUGAUAUAGAUGUUGGUCCUGCUGGACCUGAUUUCUCAGAAGAAGAAGUAGAGGGUUCUGAUUAUUCAACUGAGGAUAGUGUUGAGUCUGAAGCUGAAUUAGUUGGAGAUGAUGAUGAGAAAGAGUAUGGUAGUGAUAUACAUGAGGAGGUUAGGGAGUUGAGGGCUGAAAAGAGAAGUUUUCAAAGGAGGAAAAGAAGGGAAAGAGUAGUAGCUGACAAUGAAGAGGUACCAGUAGGUGAAGCUGGACCAGAUCUAGGUUUUGAUGAAACUGAAAUAGGUAAAGUAAGUCAUGAAGGAAGGCUAGGAGGUGAUGAGCCUUACUUUGCAAGUUCUGAUGAGGAUAGUUUUAAGUUAGAUGAAGAUGAGUGUUGUAAUGAUGAUGAAUAUGAAUCUGGUAGAUCAAGAAGAGUAAAGUUGUCAAGAAAGAGGAGUUCAAAAACUCAAAAAAUCAUUUAUGAUCCUACUGCAAAGAAAGUUGUGUGGCAGUUGGGCAUGGUGUUUAAAGAUAUGAAAGAAUUUAGACAAGCAGUAACUAAAUAUGCAGUUAGAAAAAGGGUUCAGGUGGAGAAGUGGGUGAAUGAGCCAAAGAAAGUUAGAGUUAGAUGCAAAGAUGGUUGUCCAUGGCUUUUGUUUGGAUGUCUUGACAAGACAACAAAUAAUUUCAUGAUAAAAACUUACAAUCCAAAGCAUACUUGCAACAAGACAACUCUAAAUUACUUGUGCAAUGCAAAAAUUUUAUCUGAAGCCUUCAGAGAAAGAAUAACUGAGCAACCAAACAUAAGAGUCUUCAAGUUGCAGGAGAUGAUUAGGAAAAAGUUAAAACUUCAUGUUGGCAAGACUACUGUGAGAAGAGCAAGAGCUAAAGUAUUGAAAGAUAUAAUGGGUGAUCAUGUUGUGGAAUUUGGAAGAAUACUUGACUACAAGGAUGAAUUGUUGAGGACCAAUCCAGGGACCAGUUGUGUUGUAAAAGUUGGUGAACCUGAUGCAGAAGUCAAGUCAAUAUUUCAGAGUUUUUACAUCUGUUUUGAUGCUUUAAAGAAGGCAUGGAUGCAUUGUAGGAAAUGCAUAGGCUUAGAUGGUUCUUUCCUUAAAGGUGUUUGUAAAGUCCAACUGUUAGUUGUUGUGGCCAGGGAUGGUAACAAUCAGAUGUUGCCACUUGCUUGGGCAGUAGUUGAAAAGGAGAACAAACACACAUGGACCAUGUUUGUCAAGUGCAUAAGGGAUGAUCUGGGGCUUGGAGAUGGUGAAGGUCUCACUUUGAUUACAGAUAUGCAAAAGGUAUGUGAAGUUAUUUUAUAAUUUUCAAUUUAUAUAUGUAAUUGUGACCUAAUCAUCAUUAUUGCAGGGAAUGUCUGUAGCAAUUACAAAUGUAUUACCUAAGUGUGAACAUAGAAUGUGUGCUAGGCACAUAUUAGCUAACUGGGCUAAGGAUUGGAGGGGUCUUCAAAGAAGACAACAAUUUUGGAAGAUAGCUAAGAGUACGUUUGAGUCUCAAUUAAGGAACAAUAUAGAGAAGAUGAAGUUGUUAGGUCCAGAAAAAAUGAUGGAUAACUUAAUGUACUACAAUAUUAAUUUUUGGUGCAAAGUUUACUUCAACACUGAAGUAAAGUGUGACUCUGUAGACAAUAACAUGUCUGAGUGUUUUAAUGCAUGGAUCUUGGCUGCUAGACACAAGACCAUCAUUACUAUGCUUGAAGAUAUAAGAGUGAAGAUGAUGACAAGAAUAGCCAAAUUAAGGGAGUUCCCAAGUACUUGGAAGUUUAAUUUCUCUCCAAUGGCUCUGAAGGUUUUAAAGGAGAACAUUAGUAGGUCUAUGGACUGUACCAUUGAGUUUAAUGGAGCUGCUGGAUUUGAAGUGAAAGAAGGGCUUUGUCAACACAAAGUGGAUAUUGCUGGGAGAACUUGUAGUUGUAGGGUGUGGCAGUUAAGGGGCAUACCAUGUGCACAUGUUGUGGCUGCAUUAUACUUUAAGAAGUUUUCUCUUUAUGACUAUAUAGACAGCUGCUACAGUAAGGAAACUUACUUGAGGAUUUAUGCCAAUGUUAUUGAACCACUCACAAACAUGUAGAUGUGGCCAGUUUCUACAAACCCCACUAUUGAGCCACCAGAAAUCACAAACAUGCCUGGUAGGCCACCUAAGGCUAGAAGGAAAGAAGCUGGAGAAACUAAGAAAUCUGGGAAGCUUCCUAGGACUGGACCUGCAAUGACAUGCAGUAUAUGCCAUGUCAGAGGCCAUAACAAGAGAGGGUGUCCUCAAAGAGAAGGUGUUGAAUCAUCAACAAGACAAAGUGCACCAUCACUUACUGCAUCAGUAAAGGCAGAACCAACAGGUUCAGGCAGGGGAAGAGGCAAACCAAAGGUAAUAUUUGAACUUGUUUUACUUUUUCUUAAUUUAUGACUUACUUUUUCUCUUAUAUGUAUAGAAAACUCCAUCAGCACCAUUAGAAGAUGAGCCUCCACUAAAAAAGGGAAGAGGAAGACAAAAAAAAAACAUCAUCAGUAGCACCUAGUGCACCUCCACUACCUACUGCACCUACUGAUUUUCUUGCAUCCUCUUCUGCUCCUCCUACUUAUCAUGCAUCAUCUUCAAUAGUUGGUACUACUAAAAGAGGAAGAGGCAGGGGAAACACAUCUCCAGAGAAAAGACCAAGAGUCAUGGGAAUGGGUGUGUUCCAAGCUGCAAAUGGCUUCAAAGUCAUGAAUGUGAGUCUUUGAUAUAUGUUAACAGCUUAAAUAUUGAAUUAUAAUCCUAAUUUUGUUUAAAUAAACAGCUUAAAUAUUGAUAUAAUCUUAAUUUUACUGUAGCCUGGCAUGCCAAGUAGUAAGAUCUACUCUACUGGACAAGCAAAAGUGACAAGAUCAUCUGAUGUAACUGGUGACAUUGGUUAUACACCAAGUACUACAACUAAGCUGAAAUGGAAUGGUAAAGCAGCAAUCUCAACAAGCAAGCUUCAUGAGCUUAGAGAGAAGCAAAGAAAGAAGACAAUGAAAAGUAGUUCAAGUCAAAAUGACACUUCUUCACAGUCAAAGAUGCCAUGGAAAUUGUAGUGAUGUUGAUGUAUUUAAGAACUUUUAAGUUAGUCCAUACAUGUAGCAUUAAUGGCCUGCUAUUUUGGAUAUUGUUUGUUGGUAAAUUUUGCCUUAUGUGAGGGCUUUUGAAUAUGACAUUAUUUAGGUAAAUUCUGCCUUAUGUGAGGCCUUAUGAAUAUGACUUUAUUUUGGUAAAUUCUGCCUUAUGUGAGGCCUUAUGAAUNNNNNNNNNNNNNNNNNNNNNNNNNNNNNNNNNNNNNNNNNNNNNNNNNNNNNNNNNNNNNNNNNNNUGUUGUGUUGUCUAUCGAAUUGUAUUGGCGAUUCAGGUGUGCUUACAUAUGUUAUGUUGGUUAUGUGUUUUACAAAUGGUGUUGUGUUGUCUAUUUGAAGUAUGAAUGGAUGACUAGGUUGUUGGUUGUUGAUGAAGUGUUGCAUAUUAAUACAAGCUUCAAUAGACAUCAUAGAUACAAAAUGACACACAUACAUUGAUUAAACAUAACAACAAUACAAAUCAAAGAGAAAUCCAAAUAUGCAGCACUUGAACUACUGGUUGCUGAUGAACAUAGCAACAACACAAAUCAAAAUACACAAAAGUAUCUUCCUAUUGAACCUACACCAUUUCCACCUUCUAUUGAGUCUCCUCUCCAAUAACAAAUUAGAGUUCAUCAAGUUGUCAAUAUGAACCUGUCUAAUACAUAAUUCUUGCUCCAACUCAUUGAUUUUGUUCACCAAUCUUGGAAGGAUAAAACUUGAUCUUGGAUCCACUUCUUCUUUGUCCCUCCAUCGAAAAAAUUUGCAAUUUUUAGACUAAAAAUGAUCCAAAACAGUACAUUAGCAUCGUUCAAAAUAAAGUGUAGCAAGAAUACAAGAAAAAACACAUACACCAUAGCAUGGGCAAGACCAAAAUCUUCUUCCCGGAUUUAAUUUCGACCAAGAAGUUUGCAAAUUCAGUAAAAUUAUGUGUUUGCAUCUCACUACAGCGUUGAGCAUUGGGUCUGAUUCAUCCAUACAAAGCUUAUUCAAGUUUUCAUUUGCCAUUUGCCAUUUUUGAUGAAUUUUGAGAAAAUUCAAAAUUCAAAUUAGAGACCUAAAUAAGAAAUUAGAGCAUAUUACAAACCCUAAAUUCAAGAUUUGAAGUAGAAAUGAACAUUAACAACUAAACUCUACUUAAUUCUGAGAGAAAAUUGUGAUUUUUUUAUAAAAGGAACAAGGGUUAAUGGUGGGGAAGAAGAAAUAAUGGUUUAUUUAAAGGUGGGGAAGAUGACCGUUGGAGAAGGAGGAGUUUUUCGUCAAAAUUAACCUUCUAACGCGCCUAGAGGAGGUGAGAACACCUCCCAUGACAGGUCAGCACUUAGGUGUGUAGAAAAUAGAGAAAUAUAAAGUUCAGGUGGGUAAUAGGACACCCGUAAAGUUGGAGUGUGUAGUUGGGAUUUCGGGUAUAGGUUGGGGGGGUUUUAGACCAUUUUCUCAAGUUAGGCAUAAUACAUAAAUAUUUCCUUUAACUUGGUCUUAUUUCAUAUUUAUGCCUUUAAUUUUGGGUGUGCACAAAUAGACUCUUAGGGGUCGUUUGGUAGAGUGUAUUAGUAAUGCUUGCAUUAGUACUGUUUAUAUUUGUUUUGCUUGCAUUAGUUAUGCAUAAAUUAUUUCUUAUGCAUUGUUUAGUUUGGUGUAUUAAAUAUAGUAUGCAUUGUAUAAAAUUAUUUAUUUAUAAAAAUAUCCUCUACAAUUAUGGUGGAAAAGAUGUAAAAGUGUUUUUUAUGGAUAAUUGAGUCUUUAACCAUGCUAAUGCAGUUGUUAGAUCCCUUUACAUUACUAAUACCUAGACAUUCAUGGUAUUAGUAAUACGGGUAAAAAAAAUUAAAUAUACAAUUUAAGUACCUAAACAACUCCUAUAUAACAAUAGUUUGACCAAAGCAAUAUAUUUUUUACAAAACAAAACAAAUCUAAAAUAUAUAAAAUAAAAAUCACAGAAUUAAAAGAACGAUGAAAACAUUUCAAUAUUAAAUAAGAUUUCAUUCUGUCACUCCCAGAGGCUACCGCCUGGACGCGGACACGGAACCUAGGAUCACGAGUGACCCCAAGCUAACCCUGCUGGCAUAUCAUAAGCAUACUAAAGAUAAACUUAAUCAAUAAAUUUGUGCGGAAGCUAAAUCAUAAGAUAAUCUGAAAUGAUGGGGAAUACCCAUAUACUAAAUCUGAAUAUAUGGAAAAUGAGAGUUUAAUCAACAACUGAAAAGUCAAACUCUAACACUAUAGUUGAAUUUGUCUAUGUCUGAAAAUAGCCUCUACUGACUAGAAAUAUUGGGACAUACCCUAGCUAAAUCUAGCAAAACUGAAACUAAUACUAAAGAAAGGAAACACAAUCAUGUCACUAGUCCUCGAAAAAUGAGGACUCACCACUGAUACUACUGAACUGAAGAUCGGGAACCGAUCUAUGCGUAAUUUGACUGCUGAGGACCUGAACCUACAUCAUGAGAAGAUGUAGCGUAGAGUAUGCGUCAGUACUUGAAAGGUACUGAGCAUGCAGGAUAGAGUAAAGCUGAAUAACAACAUAACUGAACAAGCAAUAAAGCAAUGAUAUAAUCUAACCAUGAUAAGGAUAAUGGAAAUACUGAAAAUGGAUAAACUGAAUGCAAUGACCAAGUUUAUAACAUGCUGAAACUGAAUGCUGAACUAUACUGAUAGCAUGGUUAAUGCUAAAGAAUCUGACUGAACUGUAAGGGAGCUACCAAUAAUUGACAUAAAACCACAUAAGCUAAAUGUGGAGUCUGAUGUAUACGCCCUAUCGAGAGGACCCACUAUACCCUGCUAGAGGUAUUGAGACAUGCUGGCGUGAUUACUAAAAUGAUGCCCACAACGGGGACUUACAACCUAUGGGGCACGUAGUUCUGGGACUUGAGGGUGUCUGACCCUAAUCCACUCGGUAUUAAGCUUCUCCCAAUUGAUUAUGUAAUUAACAUUUUAUGGCUGAAUGUCUGUAAUAAUGGAUAUCUCGAUUACUGACAUGCAAAUUGGGAAUGCAACAUUAAUAUACUGAUAAUAAUGCAUUCGAAAACUGAGGCAUGUUUAUAUACAACUGAAUUAACUGGCCUAGCAUGUGUAAUCCAUGAACUAAACGAACUACAUAGCUAGGGUUCUGAUUUUAUGCAUGAACCUGGGCAAUAAAGAUACUAAAGUCAUGAUGAUACGAUUUGGAUCAUUCUAAUAGCUAAAACCCAACAAUUCUAACAUUCAAAAACCCUAAGUCUAGAUAAUAUUAAGGGGAUCAAAAGUCUGACUGAAAUCUAAGGACCUAAUGGGAGAAAGGAACCCACUAAUGAAAUGCCACAUACCUGGUGACGAAUUCCACAGAGAAAUCUUUUGAUUGGGCUGAUACUGAUGAAAACCUUGUUGUGUUUUGGAAAGCUUUGGUCGACUAUUUCUCCUCUCUGGUUCUAAGUUUGAUCGAUUAACUUGAGAAAGAAUUGACUAAGGUAGGUUCUAAUUAAGUUACUAGGCUAAAACUGACCAAAACUACGUAGUUUAGGGUUCCAACGCAUAGGGAAAAGACAAAAAAAACAUGACUUAAAAAGUCGACUGGCUCAUCGACGGAGCUGACUGACGGGCCGUAAGUCGACUAACGGUCCGUCCUGUCAGUCAUCAUUUGGCUCUCAGAGGGCUGAAAUCUGGGGUCUAAAACUGAAAGUUGACUGGCCCAUCGACGGAGCUGACUGACGGGCCGUUAGUCAACUGACGGUCCGUAGGUGUCCUCCGUCGGUGGCACCUGGAACUUCUGAAAAUCUAUAAUUUUCUUCUUCUUUGAAUCUAGGAUGUUACAAUAGAUCCCCCUUGGGAACAUUCGUCCUUGAAUGAAGUCUAAACUAGCUGGGUAUGGAGGGAAAGAGCUGCAAAACCUACCACUAAGCAUUGGAAACUGAUUUCUGACUGAACUAAGUUCCAAGGCAUGCAAAUCACUGAAAAUGCAAGUACAAACUGAAGGACAUGAUACUAAGACUGAAACUGCGCAUGAAUGAUUGAAAAACUGAAGAGGAACUAUUACCUUAAGCUGGAAUGGAAUUGGAAGGAAAGAGAUGAGGAUACUUGGCCUUCAUGGCUGUUCUGCUUCCCAAGUAGCUCCCCUGACUCCUCCACAAAACCUUAACCGAAGCAACUUCUUUGUUUCUCAAUCUUCUAACUUGACGAUCAAGAAUCUCAACUGGCACAUCCUCAUAAAUGAGACUAUCCUUCACAGCCAUACUUUCUAAAGGUACUAUAGAUGCUGGAUCACCCAUACACUUCUUCAAUAUUGAAAUGUGAAAAAACAGAUGUACCACUUCUAGUUCUGCUGGCAACUCUAACUCAUAAGCCACUUUACAAACUCUUUUCAAGAUCUUGUAAGGGCCUUCAUAUCUAGGACUGAGCUUCCCUUUCUUACCAAACCUCAUCACCCCUUUCAUAGGUGACACUUUCAGGAAAACCCAAUCAUCAACUUGGAACUCUAAUUCCCUUCUCCUUACAUCUGCAUAGGACUUCUGGCGACUAUGGGGUGUCUUAAGUCUAUCUCUAACAAGUUGCACUUUCUCCAUAGCAUCAUGAACUGAAUCUGGCCCUAUCAAGGAUGCUUGACCUACUUCAAACCAACCAACUGGAGAUCUACAUCUACGCCCAUACAAUGCCUCAUAAGGGGCCAUCUGAAUGCUGGAAUGGUAUCAAUUAUUGUAGGCUAACUCUAUAUGAGGAAGGUGAUCAUCCCAACUACCCUUGAAGUCACUCACACAAGCUCUCAACAUGUCCUCUAACGUCUGAAUGGUACACUCUGCCUGACCAUCCGUCUGCGAAUGAAAUGCGGUGCUAAGGUUAACCUGAGUACCAAGACCCUUCUGAAAGGACUUCCAGAAAUGAGAGGUAAACUGAGGACCUCUAUAUUAGAUGAUAGACAAAGGAACCCCAUACAACCUNNNNNNNNNNNNNNNNNNNNNNNNNNNNNNNNNNNNNNNNNNNNNNNNNNNNNNNNNNNNNNNNNNNNNNNNUAAAGCUUGGCGUAGUCCUCCGCCGAAUCUGUAGUCUUGACCGCCAAAAAGCACACAGACUUAGUAACUCUAUCAACAAUCACCCAAAUGGAGUCAUGCUGUCUGGGAGUAGGAGGUAAACCUAUAAUAAAGUCCAUGUUGAUCACUUCCCACUUCCAAGUAGGAAUGUUGAUCUCUUAAUUCAUACCUUUUGGUUUCUGAUGUUCUACCUUGACUUGUUGGCAAUUUGGGAACUUACCACAAAAUCUGAUAUAUCCCUUUUCAUACCAUUCCACCAAAAGACUUCCCGCAGAUCACGGUAUAUCUUAGUGGCGCCUGGAUGAAUAGAAUACCUGGANNNNNNNNNNNNNNNNNNNNNNNNNNNNNNNNNNNNNNNNNNNNNNNNNNNNNNNNNNNNNNNNNNNNNNNNNNNNNNNNNNNNNNNNNNNNNNNNNNNNNNNNNNNNNNNGAGAAUAUGCUGUCUCAAUUCACCCACAUCAGGAACACACAAUCUACCUUGAUAGCGAAGUACACCAUCUCCCCCUUGAGAGAAAACCGCAACUCUCUGUUGAUGGACUGCACCCUUUAGCUGAAGCAAUAUCAAAUCAAUGUCUUGAUUUUCUUUAACCUCCACUACCAAUGAAGAUUCUGACCCAUUCUGGACUGUUACACCACCAUCUGAUAUGCUCAUAAGACGAACUCCUAAGCGAGCAAGUCUGUGAACAUCCUUUGCUAGUUUCUUUCUUUCUUCCUCAACAUGUGCUACACUACCCAUAGAUAGUCUACUAAGAGCAUCUGCUACUACAUUUGCCUUACCAGGAUGGUAAUGCACACUCAUAUCAUAAUCCUUGAGGAAUUCAAGCCAUCCCCUUUGGCGAAGAUUCAACUCUUUCUGGGUGAACACGUACUAAAGGCUCUUAUGGUUUGUGAACACAUCUACGUGAACACCAUACAAGUAAUGUCUCUAAAUCUUAAGUGCAAACACCACUGCUACAAGCUCGAGGUCAUAAGUUUGAUAAUUCCUCUCAUGCACCUUAAGUUGUCUAGAAGCAUAAGUUGUAACCUUACCGCACUGCAUCAACACACAACCUAGGCCAUCUCUGGAUGCAUCACAAUAGAUAAUAUAACCGUCUGAACCCUCUGGUAGAGUCAAAACAAGAGUUGUAGUCAACCUAGUUUUCAAUUUUGCCAAGCUCUUCUCACAAUCAUCUGACCAUUGAAACUAAACCUUUUUUUGAGUUAACUUAGUUAAUAGAGAGGCUAUGGAUGAAAAUCCUUCCACGAACCUUCUAUAAUAACUACCCAAGAAACUUCUAAUAUCUGUAGGAGAGGUAGGUCUGGGCCAUUGUUUCACUGCUUCUAUUUUCUGAGAAUCCACUCGAAUCCCUUCGCUAGACAUUAUAUCCCCAAGAAAAGCAACAGACUGCAACCAAAACUCACACUUACUGAACUUAGCAAAUAACUGGCAAUAUUUGAGAGUUUGCGGGACAACCCUCAACUGAGUCGCAUGUUCUUCCUCAUCCCUAUAGUAAAUGAGGAUAUCAUCAAUAAAUACGAUAACGAACAAGUCCAAAUACUACUUGAACACUUUGUUCAUCAAAUCCAUGAAAGUUGCAUGAGCAUUGGUUAGUCCAAAUGACAUAACUACAAAUUCAUAAUGUCCAUACCGAGUUCUGAAGACUGUUUUCAGAAUGUCACUAUCCCUGACUCUGAGCUGAUGAUAACGGGAUCUGAGGUCUAUCUUUGAGAAAUGACUAGCACCCUAAAGUUGGUCAAACAAGUCAUCAAUCCUGGGGAUGGGAUACUUAUUCUUGAUUGUGAACUUGUUCAACUGUCUAUAAUCGAUGCACAUUCUGAGAGAACCAUCUUUUUUCUUCACGAACAACACUGGUGCACCCCAUGAGGAAAUACUAGGUCUGAUGAAGCCCUUAUCUAGAAGGUCUUUCAACUGUUAUUUCAAUUCCUUAAGCUCAGCUGGAGCCAUUCUGAAGGAGGAAUAGAAAUAGCUGGGUAUCUGGAAGGAGAUCAAUUCCAAAUUCAAUCUCCCUUUCGGGAUAAACUCCGGGAAGAUCUUCUGGAAACACUUCUGGGAACUCAUUAACUACUGGAAUUGACUCAAGAGUUGGGGUUUCGAAGCUUGAAUCUUUAACCCAAACUAGAUCAUAGAGAUAACCCUUAGAGAUCAUCUUUUUGGCAUGAAGGUAAGAAAUGAAUCGACCUAUAGGUGCUAAGCUACUACCCUUCCAUUCUAAGAUUGGCUUAUCUAGAAACUGAAAACGAACAAUCGUAGUUCUACAAUCGACUGAGGAAUAAUAGGAAUGUAACCAAUCCAUGCCUAGAAUGACAUCGAAGUCUACCAUUUCUAACUCUACAAGAUCUGCUGAGGUGACUUUCUGAGAGACUGUGAUAGGGCAAUUUCGGUAUACUCAUCUAGUUAUAACUGGGUCACCGACUAGAGUAGAGACCGAGAAGGGUUCUGAAAGAGUUUCUGGACUAACAUUGAAGUUGACUGCUAUAUAAGGAGUUACAAAAGACAAAGUAGCCCAUGUUGUCUUUCCACUGAGUGUACAAUAUGUGAGCCACAUCCUUAAGCUGGUAGGAUGCCAACUCAACCCUACCAUUACCAGUCACUUGCAUCAUUCCAAAGAUUUUCUUAACCUUAUCAAUAAAGUUCUAUGGGUCCUCACCAACUUGUAACCCUAAAAAAACUCAGGCGGAUUCAUCCUAACAAAAUCUGGAACUCUAGCUGCCACUGAUCCACCAUUUCUAUUAGUAGGAACUGAACCUGCGUUCUGGUUGAUCAUACUCUGAGCCAAAAGCUGAAUCGCAUUUCAAAACUCUGCGUUCAAAACCUCAUGGUCUGGGACUAGAGGAACUGUGUUAGCAUUGCGUGCAUUAACAUUCCUUGCGUAAGCUCUAUGAGGAGACAUAAUCUUAAGCGCAUAACAAUGGAUUAGAAAGAGAGAUCAUACCAACGCACGAUAAGAAUAUCAAGAAAGUGGAGUUUUCCUAAAACUCUUCGUAGCCUCCCUCUCAUUAGAUGUGGUGCACUUCACACCCAGGAAAAGGACUAUACUUAGUGCGGUUUUUCAGACAUCCUAAGACACUUAAACCUAGUGCUCUGAUACCAAGUUUGUCACACCCCAAGGCUACCCCCUAGAUGCGGACGCGGGACCUAGGAUCACGAGUGACCCCAAGCUAACCCUGCUGGAAUAUCAUAAGCAUACUAAAGAUAAAUUGAAUCAAUAAAUAUUGUGCGAAAGAUAAAUCAUGAGAUAAUCUGAAAUAAUGGGGAAUACCCAUAUACUAAAUCUGAAUAUAUGAAAAAUGAGAGUUUAAUCAACAACUGAAAAGUCAAGCUCUAACACUAUAGCUCAAUUUGUCUAUGUCUGAAAAUAGCCUCUACUGACUAGAAAUGUUGGGACAUGCCCCAGCUAAAUCUAGCAAAAUUGAAACUAAUACUAAAGCAAGGAAAGACAAUCAUGUCACUAGUCCUCGAAGAAUGACGAUUCACCACUGAUACUGCUGAAUUGAAGAUCGGGAACCGAUCUAUGCGUGAUCUGAAUGCUGAGGAACUAAACCUACAUCACGAGAAGAUGUAGCGCAGAGUUUGCGUCAGUACUUGAAAGGUACUGAGCAUGCAGGAUAAAGUAAAGCUGAAUAAUAGCAUAAAUGAACAAGCAAUAAAGCAAUGAUAUAAUCUGAACAUUAUAAGGAUACUGGAAAUACUAAACAUGGCUAAACUGAAUGCAAUGACCAAGUUUAUAACAUGCUGAGACUGAAUGUUGAACUACAUUGAUAACAUGGUCAAUGCAAUAAAAUAUGACUGAACUGUAAGGAAGCUACUAAUAACCGACAUAAAACCACAUGCGCUAAAUGUGGAGUUUGAUGUAUACGCCCCAUCGAGAGGACCCAAUAUACCAUGUUAGAGGUAUAGAGGCAUGCUGGCGUGAUUACUAAAAUGAUGCCCACAACGGGGACUUACAACCUAUGGGGCACGUAGUUCUGGGACUUGAGGGUGUCUGACCCUAGUCCACUCGGUAUUAAGCUUCUCCCAAUUGAUUAUGUAAUUAACAUUUUAUGACUGAAUUUCUGUAAUACUGGAUAGCUCGAUUACUGACAUGCAAACUGGAAUGCAACAUUAAUAUACUGAUAAUAAUGCAUUCGAAAACUGAGGCAUGUUUAUAUACAACUGAAUUAACUGGCCUAGCAUGUGUAAUCCAUGAACUAAACGAACUAUAUAGCUAGGGUUCUGAGUUUAUGCAUGACCUGGGCAAUAAAGAUAUUGAAUUCAUGAUGAUACGAUUUGGAUCAUUUCUAACAGCUAAAACCCAACAAUUCUAACAUUCAAGAAACCCUUAGUCUAGAUAAUAUUAAGGGAAUCAAGAGUCUAAUUGAAAUCUAGAGACCUAAUGGGUGAAAGGAACCCACUAGUGAAAUCCUACAUACCUGGUGACGAAUUCCACAAAGAAAUCUUUUGAUUGGGCUGAAACUAAUGAAAACCUUGUUGCGUUUUGGAAAGCUUUGGUCGACUCUUUCUUCUCUCUAGUUCUAAGUUUGAUCGAUUAUCUUGAGAAAGAAUUGACUAGGGUUGGUUCUAAUUAAGUUACUAGGCUAAAACUGACCAAAACAACGUAGUUUAGGGGUUAAACGACGUAGUUUAGGGGUCCAACGCAUAGGGAAAAGACCAAAAAAGCCCUGACUUAAAAAGUCGACUGACUCAUCGACGGAGCUGACUGACGGGCCGUAAGUCGUUUGACGGUCCGUCAUGUCAGUCAUCAUUUGGCUGUUAAAGGGAUGAAAUCUGAGGUCUGAAACUAAAAGUUGACUGGCCCAUCGAUGGAGCUGACUGAUGGGCCGUUAGUCGCCUGACGGUCCGUAGGUGGCCUCCGUCGGUGGCACCUGCAACUUCUGAAAAUCUAGAAAAAAAUUCUUCUUCGAAUCUGGGGUGUUACACAUUCCUUAAUUUAAUUUUUUUUCAUUCUAUUAUUUAUCUUCCACAAAUCUCUCAACAAUUAAUUAAUCUUCCCUCUCAUAACUCCAAAAUAAGUAUUGUAACCAAAAUAAAACUCUCAAUUUUCUUUGACAAUCAUUUCAACGGUUGAAAGCAAAAAAUUAUCAAUUUAAUUUAGCACGAUGGAAUAUGGAGUGUAACAAGUAUGUAUUAGUUUUUUAAUUAUUUUUUUAGUUUGAUUGCUAAAGUAUAUAGUUCAUUUUUUAUUGUUUUAAAGUUUUUUGUUGCUUGAAUUUUUAUGUAAAUCGAUGUGUUAACUAUGAAAAAUAUUGCUUGAAUGAAUGCUUCAGAUGUUGUUUGGCACACAAAUUUUAAUUAAAUUGAUGAAAUAAAACGAUUGGAAAAUUCUUGAUUAAAUUAUGAUUUAUAUAUUGGUUUAGUUUAUGUAUUUUGUAGUGCACUAUACACCAAAAUUUAAUCAUAAUUUACAAUAUUGUUCAACAUAGCAAUGUUAAACUAUCAUGUGCACAUUUUUUUAAUUAAGUUAAUUAUACUUAAAAUUGAUAAUUUCUUGAUUAGUUUGUGGUGAUAUAUUGGUGUACGUCAUAUAAUAUAUAUUAGAUUGAACUGUACACCAAAGCUAUCACCAUAUUAUACACCAAAGCAUCACCAUAUUGUACACCAAAGCGUCACCAUAUUAUAUAUCAUUUCUAAUUAAUUUGUAAUUUAAAAAUUAUAAAUAAGUGGUUGUAUUAUGGUGUUAUACACUGUUGUAGGUUAGUAUGUGUCUAACUAUUUCUCGAUAUGUAUCGCAGGAAUGUAUGUGAAUUUCAAGAUUGAAGGAGUGAUAUAUGACACAAACACCAAAAAGAUGUUUACCAAAUAGAUACAAUACUUUGUAAUUUUAUAUUUUUAUGAAUGAAAUUUUUACUAAUACUAGUGAUUUUUUCAUAUAUGUUGGUAUAAUUAUUUAAUAAUGAUGAUAAAUAUUGGUAGAUAAUUGAUAAUAUUAUGGUGUAAGGCAGCAUAUAGUUAAAAUAUAUAACAAAAAUUAAUUUUAUAAUCAUGAUUUUUACUUCGCGUGCAAUUUAAUUAUUUGUUGUUGUAAGUUAUUCAUUGUGAUUAAAAAUAAUUUUACAUCAAACUUAAUCUACAAUGUCUAGUAUUUAAUAUACUUUUUUAAAAAAAUUAAAAUUAUAGAACGGUAUUUUGGUGUGAUAGUUUAUAAAAGGAACAAAAUUUGAUUGUAUUUUGGUGUAAGUUAUUUAUCAUGGUUUAAAAAAAAUGAUCACCAAUGUAAUACAAAAUCUAUACCAUUUAAUAUACUCAUUCCCCUUCUUCUUUUUUAAUUAACAUAUAUAAAAUUGAAGAGAGAGAAGUAAGAAGAGAUAUUUCCAUAAUAAUUGAAAUGAAAUUAAAGAGAGAGAAAAAAAAUUUCCAACAGUAAUUGUAUGAAAUUAAUAAGAAAUGUGCUUAAGGAUAGAAAUCAUAUUAAUUAGAUUAUACAUUUUCACUCCCUACAAAUUAUCAUCAAAAUCUAAAAAGAUAAUAAGAAAAAACGUAAUUGAAGAGAGAGAUAAAAAUAUUUUUUUACAAUACUAAUUGUAUUAAGUGAGAACUAGAUAGAUACUGCCCGUGCGCGCACGGCCUAAUAUUCAUCUAUGACUGUUCAAUGAGUUCAUGUAUAUAUUUAGAUUUAGAAGUAAUGGCUACUUAUCUACUUGCUAAGUAAAGCAUAUCUUGUAAACUAUUAUAUCCACAAUAAUAGACGAAACAUAUUUAAACUUUGAUAUGUAUAUUUGUGAUUGCCUUGUCCACAUAUAUACACAGUAUUUAUUUACAGAUUGGCAGAAGUUGAUGCAAGCAGGUUUUAUGUUGUUGGCAGCUAUAUCGUUGCAAUUGUGUUGUCACUGUGGUUGAUAAAACACAUACAUAGGUUAGAUUGAGUGUAAAUGAAAAUGACAUUUACACUGGAUCAUAGAUAAGCUUCUUCUCCUCGAUCACCUUGCUGAGCUUGUGAACCUGUAACAAGCUAAUAACAAUUUGGACUGCUUACCAGGACUCAAGUGGACUAAGGAGCUAGUUUUGGAUACUAAUAAAUAAUAAUAUUUAACUACUCUCAUUUCAUAUUUUAAUGACUAAUAUAUAACAGCACAAAUAGGUAACCAUGAUCCUCACGUGAAAUAUCACCCUCAAAAGAAAUAAACCAUUAUUAGACCUCCUUCAAUAGUUUUUGAUUGUUGAAAGAAUUGAUAUAUAUAUACACUAAAUUUUCUGUUGCGUGAUUAUCAAUUCAGAAAAUUUAAGCGAAGAUUUGAAUAAUAAGCUUUGUAUAAAAUAAUAUUGCAGAUUCUUUUGUAAAUGUUCAAUGUGGAUCGCCAUAUAUAUAUAUCUCUUAUUCACACGAACCUAUGCAGAUGGUCAAUGAAAAAAUUUAUUAGUUAAAUGCAGUAAUGUAUAUAUUUAUUUCAAUUUGAUGAGGUUCAAUCAUGUAAUUAGUCGUAUUAAUCUCACUAAUAUUACCUUAUAGGCGAUAUUUAUUGUGUAUUUUUCUUGUCAUCUAACCAGGUGUGUUUUGCACGUGUAUUCCACUUAAUCUGUUUAGAUGUCAUAUGAACAUGUGGAGAACAAUUUUAUAUUUAGAGCUAUUUAUGUAUAUUAAUUUUUAUUUUAUAAGUUAUAACAUAAUAGAUGACGUUUUUUUUGUUGGCUCUCAUAUUUGACUUCUCCAUUGUCUAUGUACAUAAAUCAAAGAUAGUUAUUUGACUGUCCAUAGUUAACUGAGAAAGGUUUCCUCUUUUUUUUAUCGAAAAAACUAAAAAAUAAAAUUAAAGAAUAUAUUCUAUCUGUGAAAUCAUACAAUCACAUGUUUAUCUUAUAACCAACAAAGAUAUAGUUCAUAUGCAUGUAAAUAAUUUUCUAUUUAUUCAACCAAGCAUGAUUCGUCCAAGUAAAAAUAACAACACUGUAUUAUCACAUAUAUAGGGGCAGUAUAAUAAUAAUAUGAAAAAUUAUUGAUCAAAAGUUAAUAUAAAGAAAGAUGAAAUAUAGAAAUAAUUAAUGUAAUAACUAUGAUAAUUCAUAAUAUUAAAACUAAAGAAUAUAAAAGAGUGUGAAUAACAUUUGCAAUAAUUAGUCAUUACUAAGAGAAUUUAUAAUCUUAUAACUAAAAAUUAAUGUGCAAUAGAUGAAUUUCUAAUAAAUUUUAUAAUUACAUAAAUAGGACUUUUAAUUAAUGUUACUAUUUUUUUUUAUUAGUUAUUAGAUUUUAAUUUAGUAGUAGGGACAAAAUGAAAAUGUUUAUUCCAUAUUACUGAAUAUAAAAUUUAUUUUGUUAAAUUAUAAAUUUUUAAAUGCUUCAUAUAUAUUCACAUAUUUUCAUAUUUGUUGUGAGUUUUUUUUUAAAAAAAAAUAGGGAUAAGAGUCUGAAAAAUACCCCAAGUUUGGUCGGAUUUGUUGUUGCGAUACUAAACUUUCAUGAGGACCUAUUACCUCCCUAGACUAUUUAAUACCGUAUUUUAAACAUAUAUAUUUGCUAUUAGUACAAUGAUUUAUUACUUACGACCAUAAUGGAAGACUUGGAAAGUAUGUCUUCAUAGAUGAACAAUAUUUUGAACCAACGAGAUCGAGUUAUAUAUAUAUUACCUUCAAAGCAUGAACUCCUAACUUGAAUGUUAAAUUACUAUAAUAUCCCUAACUUAGGUUGUGACUUUUCUGAUAAGUUGUGAUUUUUUUCAAAGAGUUGUAAUUUUUCGAUGAGUUGUGACUUUUACAAAGAGUUGUGCCUUUUCCAAAGAGUUAUGACGUUUCCAAAGAGUUGUGACUUUUUCAAUAAGUUGUAUAUGUAUAAUUCGCUAUACAUAUACAAAAGAAAGCAGUUGUAUACAAAAGAAUCAAUUAUAUAAUUUGUAUAUGUAUAAAACGAGAAAGAGAGAAAGGCAAAAGAAAACUGGGCAGGGAAAUAUUUAUAUUGUAUAAUUAUAAGUGUAUAGGACAAAGAAAGAUAUAUGUAUUUGCAUGUGUAUAUACAAUUUUCUCUUGCUUUAUACAAACAGAAGCGCAAUUUAUACAUUUCGUUUCUGUUUGUAUAAGCGAGAGAGGCGAGGGUGGCGAGCGAGAUUUGGGAGAGUGGAGAGCGAGAUCUGGGAGGAGGGAGGAGAGGGGGAACGGAAAAAUAUAUGUAUAUAUACAAUUUCCUCUCACUUUAUUCAAACACAAACACAUUUUAUACAUUUGUGUUUGUAUAAAAGCGAGAGAGGCGAGCGAGACUGCCACCAAAAGAGAGUGGCGAGCAAGAUUCCACUAGGGAGAGUAGCGAAAAUAGCAAUAGUUUGCUAUAGGGUACAAUUAAAUCAAAGUAUAUUUAUAGCAUUUAAUUUGAAUUAAUAGUUUGCUAUUAUAUAUAAUUUUCCCAUGUUUUUUAUAGUAAUAACUAUUUUGAAACAAACUUCUUGACAAUCUAAAUCACACAAGUAACAUUGAUAAAUAAAGUCAUUUUUUUGUCUUGAGCAUCAAAAAAAUAAAUCGUGACAAUUCUCUAACUCUUGAGAAGUUUAAACUCCUCUAUUUAUAGUCAACAAAGGGUAGUAUGAACAAGUUUUUUUGUGUCUUAUCUGAAAAGUAAUGACCUUUCCGAGAAGUCACAACCCUUCCAAAAAGUCACAACUCUUUGGAAAAUAAAGUCACAACUCUUUGGGAAAGACACAACUCUUUGGAAAAGUCACAGCUCAUCGAAAAAUCACAACCCUUUGAAAAAAGUCACAACUUAUCAGAAAAGUCACAACUCACCGAAAAAGUCACAACCUAAGUUAGGAAUAUUAUAGUAAUUUAACAUUCAAGUUAGGAGUUCAUGCUUUGAAGGUAAUAUAUAUAUAACUCGAUCUCGUUGGUUCAAAAUAUUGUUCAUCUAUGAAGACAUACUUUCCAAGUCUUCCAUUAUGGUCGUAUAUAUAUAACUCGAUCUCGUUGGUUCAAAAUAUUGUUCAUCUAUGAAGACAUACUUUCCAAGUCUUCCAUUAUGGUCGUAAGUAAUAAAUCAUUGUACUAAUAGAAUUUGCAUCCCUGCCAAGAGAGCAACUAUCAGCCUAGUCAUGAUUAUCUCAGACCAAUCAAACAAAUGAAGCAUUUAUUUCCUUGUUAAUACUUAAUACACGAUAUAUUUUGAACCAAAUCAUAUAUAUUAUAUCUACUAUUACUUAUAUAUAAGUGUGAAUAACCAAGCACCACACCUCAACAUGUGUUCCAAUAAGAAUCACUACUAAUAUCCAAUAUAUUUAUAAGUCGGUCCCCACCACCUUCCACUUAAAUACUACAUAUUAUAUACUCCAUAUUAUAUAUUACAAUAAUUAACAAUUAUUUGACACUUUAAAUUCUAUCAAUGCCAUAUAAAUUAAGAUAAAAAAGGUAACAUAUAAUAUUUAUAUUAAUAUUUAUAAUAAUAAUAAAUAUAUAUAACUUAUAUACUCCAUAUUAUAUAUUAUUACAAUAAUUAACAAUUAUUUGACACUUUAAAUUCUAUCAAUGCCAUAUAAAUUAAGAUAAAAAAGGUAACAUAUAAAAUUUAAAUAUAUUUAAAAAUAAUAUAAGUAAUACUAUACAUUACAAUAAUUAACACCUUAAAUAUUUAAAAGUUAUAUAAAAAAUUUAAUUGACUCUCAAAAUUCUAUUGGUACCACCUAAAAUGGAUUAUAUGAUAAACAUAUAUUGUUUGAAAUUGACGAAAAAGAAACAAUAAAUUACAAUAAUUAAUAAAAGAAAUAGUCGACUCCAAAAAAUCUAUCAAUUAACAACAUAUAUUGUUUGAAAUUGACGAAACAGAAACUAUAAAUUACAAUAAUUAACAAAAUAAAUCUCUCGACUCCAACAAAUCUAUCAAUUAAUGCCACAUAAAUUGGGACAUGGCAAAUAACAUAUAUUAUUAAAAAAGUAGGUUCAAAAUGUAGUAUAAAAUAAAAUAAUUAACAACUUAAUAUAUUAAAGAGACAUAUAAAAAAGGGUUAAUAUUUGAAAUUCUGCAUCUGCCACAUAAAUUAGAACAAAUAGAUUAAUAAAUAUUAUUUUCAAAAUUAUGUUAAGAAAAAAGUACUACAAAUCACAAUAGCUAACAAUUUAAAAUAUUUUUAAAAUCAUAUAAAAUUUUCAAUAACUUCUCAAAUUCCAUAAUAUGACAUAAAUUUAAAAAAUAUAUAUAUUGGGCCCCGUGCUGGCACGGGGUCCUAUAUCUAGUAUAUAUAUAAAUGAGAAACACAAACAAGGUAAUAUGGCACCUCUCUAUGACCUCCAUUUGCAUUUAUCUUUUUUCUCUUUUUUUGGCUGUUUUAAAAAAAUAAAUUACUUAUUGUAUUGUAAAAAUAAAUUACUAAAUUUAUUACAAAUAAAUAAUUUAUUAAUGAAGGAACAUUUACAACAAAAGCUCUUCACAUUCUUUUUUUUAUUUGUUUGUCUCACUUAUAAUAAAGAAGAAACAUAAUUUAUCGUUUUUCUCCAUUUUUGGCUUUUUUUUUAAUUCAAAUUAAUUAUUGUAUUAUAAAAGUAAAUUACUUAAUUUAUUAUAAAUAAAUAUUUUAUUAAUGGAAGAACAUUUAGAGCCUGUUUGGAUGGGCUUUUAAGCUGGUCAAACUGGCUUAAAAGCCAGUUUUUGACUUAGAGCCUGUUUGGAUGGGCUUUUAAGCUGGUCAAACUGGCUUAAAAGCCAGUUUUUGACUUAGAGCCUGUUUGGAUGGGCUUUUAAGCUGGUCAAACUGGCUUAAAAGCCAGUUUUUGACUUAGAGCCUGUUUGGAUGGGCUUUUAAGCUGGUCAAACUGGCUUAAAAGCCAGUUUUUGACUUAGAGCCUGUUUGGAUGGGCUUUUAAGCUGGUCAAACUGGCUUAAAAGCCAGUUUUUGACUUAGAGCCUGUUUGGAUGGGCUUUUAAGCUGGUCAAACUGGCUUAAAAGCCAGUUUUUGACUUAGAGCCUGUUUGGAUGGGCUUUUAAGCUGGUCAAACUGGCUUAAAAGCCAGUUUUUGACUUAGAGCCUGUUUGGAUGGGCUUUUAAGCUGGUCAAACUGGCUUAAAAGCCAGUUUUUGACUUAGAGCCUGUUUGGAUGGGCUUUUAAGCUGGUCAAACUGGCUUAAAAGCCAGUUUUUGACUUAGAGCCUGUUUGGAUGGGCUUUUAAGCUGGUCAAACUGGCUUAAAAGCCAGUUUUUGACUUAUUAAAGUGUUUGGCAAUUAUCAAAGUGACUUAAUUUAAGUCAGAAAUGACUUAUUUUAAGCCAAAAGCUAAAAGCUAGGGGAGGGGAGCUUUUUUUUUUUUUAACUUAAAAGCCCUUUCAUGUUGACCAAGUAUAUUACGUUUUUGCCCUUAAUUCUUUUAUACAUUUCCCAAAUUGCCCAUAUUGAAUUAACCCUAACAUCUAUUAUUANNNNNNNNNNNNNNNNNNNNNNNNNNNNNNNNNNNNNNNNNNNNNNNNUUAUUAUUAUUAUUCCUCUUAUAAAUAAUUUGUGGUGGUGAAGAAUUAUGUGAAUGAUAGGAAAAUAUUAUUACUUGUGGAUGAAAAAUAUAAAUUUAUUUUUAAGUAUAAAAACCUUAAAUUAAUCAACUUUUUAUCAUGUUAACAGCUUAAAAGGGUAUUUCAGACAUUUUGAUUAGAAAAAAGUGUUUACCAGCACUUAUUUGCCAAACACAUCAACAACUUUUUUUUCAACUGCAGCACUUUUAUCCAAACACAUAACUACUUAUUUUUAAAAUAAGUUUCAGCACUUUAAAAAGUUACUUUUUAAAAGUUACUUUUUUUAAGUCAAUCCAAACGGGCUUUUACAACAAAAACUCUCCACAUUCUUUUUUUAUUUGUUUGUCUCACUUCUCAUGAAAUGAUAAUAAUUUCUUUUUAUAUUUUAAGUAUUUUUCUCUUUAUUUUUUAAUUUAUUCACAAGGAGUUAUUACCCAUGGAUUACCCCUCUUUAAUUUUUACUUUUAAUAAUAUUCAUAACUUUCAUAAUUUUUAUUUCUAUAACCUCCAAACUUAAAUUUGUAAGUUUAUGAUGUCUUAUGGUAUUCCUCUAUUUUGCCUAUAAAUUCAUAUUAGUUUCAUGAAUAUUCACAUUCAAAAUUAUCCUUUCUCUUCUUCAUCAUAUUGGUUUGGUUUGUACCAAAAAAGAAGUACAUAAAGGUAAGAAAUAUUUCAAUCUCAAGUCUUUAUUUUUUUCAUUUCCUCUAUUUUGUCUAUAUAAAUUCAUAUUUGGUUUGUGAAUGAAACUAACAUGUAACCAAAAAAAAAAGUAUAUGAAGUUAAUAAAUAUUUCAUUCUCAAGUCCUUAUUUUUGAAUUUCCUCAAUUUUAUCUAUAUAAAUUCAUAUUUACUUUCAUGAAGAUUCACAUUAUUAUUUCUCUUCUUCAUCAUAUUUGUUUGUGAAUUAACUAACAUGUAACCAAAAAAAAAGUACACGAAGGUAAGAUAUAUUUCAUUCUCAAGUCUUUCGUUUUAUUUCUAUGUACUUAGACAUGCUUUCUUAAUAUUUUGAUUAUGUUUGUAUUAUCAUUCAUCAAGCAAGUAUGAUUUUCAAAAAAUGUCUUUGUAAUUCUUAACGAUGUGUUGUAAGUAUGCAAUUAUUCUUUCUAAUAGUCAGUUUUCCGGAUAUAAUAUAGUUUAAUUUGAUAAUAAUAUUUGUUAGAUUUCAAGAAAUGAUUAUUAUGUAGUAUUGUCAGUACUAUUGAAAAAAUAAUAUACAAAGAUAUUACAUAUAAUUUAAAUUUCUUUCUUUCUUUUGAUAUAUUUAUUUUUAAUUAGUAUAUGAUAUUUUAUUUAUUUAUUUUUAUUCAAUUGAUUGCAUAUGAUGAAGAGUUUGACAUAUGAAGCAAAAUAUGGUAGCGAAUCUACUUGCAAAUGAAGAUUAUAGAAGGGGAAAAAAAGAAGCAUAAUUAGAGAUUAUUUUUGUUAGAUUUUUUUUUUUACUUUGACUUGUAUUAGUAACUUACCUACUUUGCUAGAAUUUUUUAAAUUUUGGUUUGAAUAAAUAAUUUAGCUAAAUGUAUUGUCAAUGUUAAUCAUUUGAUCCUUUACUAUUUUACUUUUUUUUUGUUAUGAAGCACAAUUAAUAUAAUUAUCAUAUUUCAACAACAACAAAAUAUUAUGAUGAUUAGGAGUUUCAUUUUUAUUAUACUUGCAAAAAAGUAAUUGAAAAAUAAAAUAUUAGUUUCAUGAUGCCAUUUUUUUGCGUAUGUAACAAUCUGUUUCUGUCACCGUUUUUUUGUUUGAAAUGUAUUUAUAAUUUUUAUGCAGUCACCAAUUAUUAUUUAUUAUUAUUAUUUUGUAUUUUUUCCCCUUAUUUUCAUUUAUUUAUUUUACAAAUAAAAUCAAUGCAUAAGUGUUAAUACAUUUAAUGUCUAAUAAAAUCAUACAUUUGAAUUAUUUAUAACUCAUGUCUCUUCAUCUUACUUGUAACUUAUAAUAUUAAAUAUUAUUCAUAACUUUUGUAUUUUUCAUUUUUCAUAAUUCUUAUAAAUAUUUAAUUAAUGUUUAAAAAAUUAUAAUAAACAAAUGUAAUAAUAAAGACAUAAAAAAAAGUUUUACUUAAUUCUUUUUUCACGUUGUGUGAACUACUUCAAAAUAUUGUGAUUACGUGCUAUUGAAAUCUUGGUCGACUCAUGGCUUUUCAAAUUCAAUGGAUCAAAACUUGCAUUUCUACUGCUAAGUUUUAUGAAUAGAACUAUACCUAAUAAAUAAUAAAUAAAUAAAAGAUAUGAAAGUUGCGAGUAUAAGGAAAUUUUAAACUCCAAGAGCUCUAAAUUUGUGUUUAGAAGAAAGAAGAUUGUGGAUCUCUGUUCGAUUUGAUAAAGGGAGAAAACUGCAACUUGUAAGUGUAUCCUCCAAGAAAGAUGCCUGGAGAAAUGGCUAGCUUGUUCUCUUUGAAGGAGUGAUUAUAUCAGACAGACGAAGUGAAAAAAACGUCGAAAAUUAGAAGGGAAAAAGAGAUUAUAGCUUUAAGAAAUAGCUAGAUCUUCUCUUGCUAUCUGGUUUGAAAAGAUGGUAUUGCCGCCUAUGUUGCUUGAACUCUUGAAAGCUGUUUUUCGGGUCCAACACUAGUGCAUUAUUAGAGGAUCCAACACAAGUGUGGCAGCAUUUUGGAGAGUGAGAAACAUAGACUGCCACAAUAGUUUCCAACUUUUUUUUUCUUUUUCCCUGAGGUGAUUUUUCUAGUUGAUGAUGCUCAAUAACAGAUAGCAAAAAAGAUAUUAUGAAAGAAGCCUGGAUUAUUGUCAUCACUCGUCACUCAUGAACAAUUAGAUUCACUAUCCUGGCUAUCGUUUAUCAACGUUUUCACCUAAGUAGGUCAAAGAAAGACAUGAUUUGAGAGGCAACACAAGAAAACUAACAAUUCAUUGGUACCGAAGAAAAAGAGAGAAAUAUAAGCAAGGCUGUGAUGACAGGAAUGUAAAUCAAAAGACUUCCUAACAUUCUGACUCAGUGGAAAAUAUGAGAACAUUCAGGUGAGGAUUGAAAAUGACUAAAUAUGAUAAUGUUAACAUUCUGAAACUGUCUGCUAGAAUAAAUCCGAAAAAAUAAGGACUCUAGUUUUUUAGCAAGGACAUGUAAUUUAAUAACUUGACAGCACCAAGUUAUGUACAACUAAGCAAAAGCAUCCCUGUUUGGAUAUGCAGGGUACUAAUGACAAACAUCACAAACCUGGGUGAACAAGUGCUGAAUGUUAACUCGGUUGCACAACUCAGCUUUUGAAGGUAAUCUUGGAUGAGGGUCUUAAAACCUUGAUGAUAAUCACGGCUCGUCUUCCUCAUCAUCAUCAGAAUCUUGAUCAGUAUUAUCCUCAUCAUCAUCAGAAUCUUGAUCAAAAUUAUCCUCAUCAUCAUCAGAAUCAUGAUAAUAAUAAUCACUGGAACAGUCUUCCUCGUCAUCAGAAUCUUGAUAAUAAUCACUGCAACUGUCUUCCUCAUCAUCAGAAUCUUGACAAGGAUUAUCCUUAGCUUUAACCACAGAGGAUACAUCUACAAGCCUACACGUGAAAUGAUGCAAAUCAUGUGAAAGAACCAAAUAAUGAAGAUUCGGGGCAAAAAUUUCCAAGGAACUAUCACUUUCACUUCCAUCAUCAUCCAUUCAAUAACCUUCCAAUUUCAGGCUUUCUACUUUGAAAGAAUUAAUUUCCAGGCUAUGAAAAAUCCCCAACCUUGUGAAAUUAAAUAGUUUCCAAAGCAGGACAGACUGACAGUAAGUUUACAAUUUCGGCAUCCCCUAUCCUCCAAAGUUAUGCUCUUUAGAGACUUUCACGCUAUGACAAUAUAUUAGAAAUAAGGAACUUUCUACUAGAUGCAAUGUUCUCAACGCUGAACAGGUAAAGAAAGAUUCAGUAAAUAGACAAAGAGGAUCAGAAUAGACUAUAACAUGUUCCACAUUUUUUUUAACUGCAAAACAGCCAGUUCCUUUUUCUUUUUCCCUGAGGUAGCUUUUCUAGUUGGUGAUGCUCAAAGAACAGAUCAUAUAAACAAUGUUAUGAAAGAAGCCUGGAUUAUUGUCAUUAAUUUCGCAGUUGUCACUCACGAAAAAUUAAAUUCACUUUAUUGGCCAUAGUGCAUCCAUUUUGUCAACAAAGUAGGUCAAAGAAAAGACAGGAUUUGGAGGACAACACAAUUAUAAUUCCCAUCAUAUGCCAGGAAUGUAAAUCCAAACACUUCCAAGCCAUAUGCCAAGUGACAAACAAAUGAUGAAGUUAUAACCCGACUCAGCAGAAAAAAUGAGACUACAAGAGGGGCGGGGGAGAACUUUCUGGUGGUGAUGGAAAUGACUUGCUCUGAAUUUUUUAGCAGACGCAUUAACGGAAAAAAAUUGGUAAAAGAUUUAGCCUAAUAAUGACCUAAACUUCAACUAAAAAAAAUCAACAGCAUUGUAAGCCUCAAUUACAGACUGUUACAAACAAUGCAGACCUCUUUCUUCCAAGUAAAGAGCCUAUGAGAGAACCAUUUCGCAAUCAAAGUUUGAUACUAUUGACAAAGCAUUUAAACAUUUAAUUACAACUUAAAAGAAAUUUGCAAUGCACAUGCACAACAUCUAAUCUAAAAUGUAACAAACCAAGACUUCAUGAGAAACCAAGCUACUAUACCAUUUGAUAUACCAUAACAGUAAGUUUCAAAAGAACAAUAAUUAAUAACAUCGAGAAGUUUAAGAUUAGCGAUUGCGCGAAGUUGAUCAAAAACUUAAUAUAAGGGAAAAUUUCUUGUAUCCUGAGACAAAAAUACUUGUAGUCUAGUUAUAGAAAGCUCACUCUUGAUAGGUAAUCACAAACUCAGCAGAGGAUCUCAAUUUACUAGCCAAUCGCGAUAAAAAUCGGGACACACACUUGAUUCCACAAAUCUCACACCUUCGUCUUUUUGAAACGAUAACGAACUUCUCCAAAGCCACUGCUUUCUUUAACAAAAAGCUUGAAAGUUUGAAAAGCUUCCUGAUAUAUUCCCAGUUGAGAUGCUCCUUCAUGCACAUCCCAGAGGAGAUGACAAUCUCAACAUUCUUUAGGUUGGGAAACACAGAGCUUGAAUUAUAACUCUGCAAAUCAAUACUAUCACCUCUGACCAAAUAUUCUCUCUCAAAAUAGCACCUGGAAUCAUCAAACUGGAGAAAAAGAAAAUAGUCAGGAC